UACAGAGGGUGCGAGCGUUAAUCGGAAUUACUGGGCGUAAAGGGUGCGUAGGUGGUUGGACAAGUUGGGUGUGAAAGUCCUGGGCUUAACCUGGGGAUUGCAUUUGAUACUGUCUGGCUAGAGUACUGUAGAGGAAGGUGGAAUUUCCAGUGUAGCGGUGAAAUGCGUGGAUAUUGGAAGGAACAUCAGUGGCGAAGGCGACUUUCUGGACAGAUACUGACACUGAGGCACGAAAGCAUGGGGAGCAAACAGG
rnacentral:rRNA from 1 species